UACAGAGGGGGCAAGCGUUAUUCGGAAUUAUUGGGCGUAAAGGGCGCGUAGGCGGCCUGGCAAGUGGAAGGUGAAAUCCCUCGGCUUAAUCGAGGAACUGCCCUCCAAACUGCUUGGCUUGAGUCCGGGAGAGGUGAGUGGAAUUCCCAGUGUAGCGGUGAAAUGCGUAGAUAUUGGGAGGAACACCAGUGGCGAAGGCGGCUCACUGGACCGGAACUGACGCUGAGGCGCGAAAGCGUGGGGAGCAAACGGG
rnacentral:rRNA from 1 species